AUUGAACGCUGGCGGCAGGCCUAACACAUGCAAGUCGAGCGGAUGAAGGGAGCUUGCUCCUGGAUUCAGCGGCGGACGGGUGAGUAAUGCCUAGGAAUCUGCCUGGUAGUGGGGGAUAACGUCCGGAAACGGGCGCUAAUACCGCAUACGUCCUGAGGGAGAAAGUGGGGGAUCUUCGGACCUCACGCUAUCAGAUGAGCCUAGGUCGGAUUAGCUAGUUGGUGGGGUAAAGGCCUACCAAGGCGACGAUCCGUAACUGGUCUGAGAGGAUGAUCAGUCAAACUGGAACGGAGACACGGUCCAGACUCCUACGGGAGGCAGCAGUGGGGAAUAUUGGACAAUGGGCGAAAGCCUGAUCCAGCCAUGCCGCGUGUGUGAAGAAGGUCUUCGGAUUGUAAAGCACUUUAAGUUGGGAGGAAGGGCAGUAAGUUAAUACCUUGCUGUUUUGACGUUACCAACAGAAUAAGCACCGGCUAACUUCGUG
rnacentral:rRNA from 1 species